rnacentral:rRNA from 1 species
AGAGUUUGAUCCUGGCUCAGAAUCAACGCUGGCGGCGUGCCUAACACAUGCAAGUCGAGCGAGAAAAGGGGAGCAAUCCUCUGAGUACAGCGGCGCACGGGUGAGUAACACGUGGGUAAUCUGCCCUGGAAUGGGGAAUAACACCGGGAAACCGGUGCUAAUACCGCAUACGAUAGCGAGGUCUGCGGACUUUGUUAUGAAAGGAGCAAUUCGCUCUACGAGGAGCCCGCGGCUGAUUAGCUAGUUGGCGAGGUAAUGGCUCACCAAGGCUUCGAUCAGUAUCCGGUCUGAGAGGACGGUCGGACACACUGGAACUGAGACACAGUCCAGACUCCUACGGGAGGCAGCAGUGGGGAAUUUUUGGCAAUGGGGGCAACCCUGACCAAGCAACGCCGCAUGGGUGAUGAAGUAUCUCGGUACGUAAAACCCUUUCAACAGGGAAGAAAACCGCAAGGUUUGACGGUACCCGUACAACAAGCCCCGGCUAACUCCGUGCCAACAGCCGCGGUAAUACGGGGGGGGCAAGCGUUGUUCAGAAUUACUGGGCGUAAAGGGUGCGUAGGCGGUUCGCUAAGUUGGAUGUGAAAACUCUGGGCUCAACCCAUAGCCUGCAUCCAAUACUGACAAGCUAGAGUUCUGGAGGGUGUAGCGGAAUUCCUGGUGUAUCGGUGAAAUGCGUACAUAUCAGGAGGAACACCGGUGGCGAAAGCCGCUACCUGAACAGAGUCUGACGCUGAAGCACGAAAGCUAGGGGAGCAAACAAGAUUAGAUACCCUGGUAGUCCUAGCCCCUAACGAUGGAUACUUGCUGUGACUGGGAUUGAAUCCAGUCGUGCCGAAGCUAACGCAUUAAGUAUCCCGCCUGGGGAGUACGGUCGCAAGAUUAAAACUCAAAGGAAUGACGGAAGGCGAAUCGCGCGCACC